rnacentral:rRNA from 1 species
GAGAAAGAGAACAAGAGCGAACGGAGGAUGCCUUGGCUUCCGAAAGCGAAGAAGGACGUGGUAAGCUGCGAAAAGCUCCGGGGAUCUGCAAACAGGAAUUGAUCCGGAGAUGUCCGAAUGGGGGAACACAUACAGUUGAAGACUGUAUACCAUCGCGAGAUGGGGCGAACGCAGG